rnacentral:lncRNA from 1 species
GUUCAAUAUUUCAAGUGAAAAUCUGCCUGUUCGAAAAGAAAAUAUUCACAAAUGAGCAGUGUAUUAGAAGACAACUGAAUUGCUUCUAAGAAUGGGUCUCACUCUGCCAUCACCCAGGCUGGAGUGUGGUGGCACCAUCAUGGCUCACUGCAGCCUUGAACUCCUGAGCUCAAGUCAUCCUCCCACCUCAGCCUUCCGAGUAGCUGGAACUGCAGGUGUGAGCCACCAUGCCUGGCUGAUUUGUCUUUUUAAAUUUUUUAUAGAGACCGAGUCUCAACUAUAUUGUCCAGGCUGGAAAAGAACUUCUUUCCCUCCAAGUGAUAACCUUUUCCAGACAAGUCAGCUUAAAAACUGACCCAAAGGCCCUGAAGUACACAGUUUUCUUGGAGAAAGAAAAAAAUAAGUGAAAAGGACUUGCUGACUUGCUAAUUCAUUUUGGGGCCUGUGGGUAACAUCAGAAUGGCAAAGCACUUGGGGCUUUUUUCUAAUUUGUAUUUUUUUAAUCUUCUGAGAAAUGACUUUUAUAUGCCAAGAUUCAUUCCAUGAUUAGUUUUUAUGACCAAGUUAUGAACGCUUUUGAAUAUGGGGACCUAGAAUAGAAAUGCUAACCUACCUGCAAGGAGAGCUCUGUGAUUGGCAUCCCCAUCAUGCUGUAACUGACACAAAAUAAACUUAGGGUAAUUGCCGCAUAGUGUAACUUUAAUGUGUGAGCAUACUGUAACAUCUGACAAGCUUCUUGAUCUAGAUCAGCAAUGUGUAACCCAUUCAUUGUUGUCACUCUCAACAAGGCCUUAUGGUCAAACAUCAUCACUCUCACUAAAGAGAUAGUUUACUGAAAUAUACUGAGAUUUUGAAACUGGAGUCAAGAGGUAGCACAC